rnacentral:rRNA from 1 species
AGCGGCGGACGGGUGAGUAACACGUGGGUAACCUGCCUGUAAGACUGGGAUAACUCCGGGAAACCGGGGCUAAUACCGGAUGGUUGUCUGAACCGCAUGGUUCAGACAUAAAAGGUGGCUUCGGCUACCACUUACAGAUGGACCCGCGGCGCAUUAGCUAGUUGGUGAGGUAACGGCUCACCAAGGCGACGAUGCGUAGCCGACCUGAGAGGGUGAUCGGCCACACUGGGACUGAGACACGGCCCAGACUCCUACGGGAGGCAGCAGUAGGGAAUCUUCCGCAAUGGACGAAAGUCUGACGGAGCAACGCCGCGUGAGUGAUGAAGGUUUUCGGAUCGUAAAGCUCUGUUGUUAGGGAAGAACAAGUGCCGUUCAAAUAGGGCGGCACCUUGACGGUACCUAACCAGAAAGCCACGGCUAACUACGUGCCAGCAGCCGCGGUAAUACGUAGGUGGCAAGCGUUGUCCGGAAUUAUUGGGCGUAAAGGGCUCGCAGGCGGUUUCUUAAGUCUGAUGUGAAAGCCCCCGGCUCAACCGGGGAGGGUC